GGUGUGACCUCGUGUUUUAAAAUUGUUCCGGUGGAAUAGUAUUUAUCACAGAUAAACAAGAACACAAGCCAAUAGCAACCAGAGAGAAGUAAUUAUGAAGACCUCUCAGUGCCAAUCCAGAGUAUCUCAGAGCGGCAGCGCGAGCUACAUGAGCAGCCUCAGCACCAGCGCAAUGAACCCGCUCAGCAGCGCGAGCCUCAUCCUCCUUGUUCUCCUCAUCUCAGCGAUCCCCAUCUGCAAAAGUUCUCCAAUACAACAGCAGAGAGCAACACUAGACCAGUACCAGCUUCUCAACCAGCUAGAAGAUGUGUGCUCAUCCUACCUUUCUGCAGACCUGCCAUUUCGGGUGAGUAAGACUAGAAUAAUGAAAUGUUCAUAUGAAAGCACAGAAGAGAAUGGAUGA
rnacentral:lncRNA from 13 species